rnacentral:lncRNA from 10 species
UAUGAGGGAUUCUUUGUGAUUCCUUAAGUUGAAUAUUUGCAUCUUUUAUCAGUUCUGAACAAUUCUCAACCAUUAUUUUUCCCCAAGUUUUGAAAAAACCUUGGUAAUAUAUAUGUACAUACAUAUAUAUAAUGUAAAAUGUACCAUUUUAACUAUUUCUAAGUGUACAGUUCAGUGACAUUAAGGACAUUCACAUUGUUGUGCAAUCAUUACUACCAUUCAAACCUGAAUCACUUUGAAGAAACAUGAAGGAAAUGUGAAUUCAGGCUGUAACCUUAUUUGAAGUCUCACAUGUGGUUACAAAUUCUCAAGAGAAGACUUUUGGACCUUGUACCAAGUGCCAUUAUUUUUUCACCAUAUUCCUUUGAGGGGUAUAUGUAAAAUAAAGGGCAGGGGAUACUUCCUAACACCUUCUAUAAGACCAAUAUUACCCUAAUACUAACACCAGACAAAGACAACAGGGAAAAGAAAAUAACAGACCAAUAUCCAUUGUGAAUAUGGAUGUACAAAUCUUCAACAAAAUACUAACAAAUUGACUUCAGUAGCAUAUGAAAAUGAUUAUCUGAGGGAUCUUCAAAAGUUCAUGGAAAACACAUAUGAGAAGAGAAUGCAUGGAUUUCAAUUUUUUGCACUAAAAUGAACUUGUACUAACUUAUAACAUGUCUGAACAAGAUCUAGAUUGAGGCACUAAGAAAGAUAAGGCAUCAGUUUGAAAACAGCCCAUAUCAGAGCGACAUGAAUUUUGUUAAAAUUGAAGCAAGAACAAACAUCACAUUUGUAGUGAAGCUUGAGUUGGAGAAUGGUGAAAUCACUGGUGCUUUACAAAAAGUUUAUGGGGACAACGCCCCAAAGAAAUCAGCAAUGGAUAACUCAUUUUAAGAAAGGAUGAGAUGAUAUUGAAUAUGAAGCCUACGGUGGCAGACCAUCCACAUCCAUUUAUGAGGAAAAAAUUAAUCUUGUUUGUGACCUAAUUGAAGAGGAUCAACGAUUAACAGCAGAAACAAUAGUCAAUGCCAUAAACAUCUCAGUUGGUUCAGCUUACCCAGUUCUGACCGAAAAAUUAAAGUUGUGCAAACUUUCCACUUGAUGGGUGCCAAAACCAUUGUGCCCAGAUCAGCUGCACAAAAGAGCAGAGCUUUCAAAGGAAAUUUUAAACAAGCAGAGUCAAGAUCCUGAAGCAUUUCUUUAAAGGAUUAUAACAGGAGAUGACAUAUAGUUUUACCAGUAUGAUCCUAAAGACAAGGCACAAUCAAAGCAAUGGAUACCAAGAGGUAAAAAGUGGUCCAUGCCAGGUGCAGUGGCUCACGCUUGUAAUCCCAGCACUUUGGGAGGCCGAGGUGGGUGGGUCGCUUGAGGCCAGGAGUUUGAGACCAGUCUGGGCAACAUGGGGAAACCCCAUCUCUACUGAAAACACAAAAAUUAGCCAGGUGUGGUGGCACAUGCCUGUAGUUCCAGCUGCUCAGGAGGCUGAGGCAGGAGAAUCUCUUGAACCCAGGAGGUGGAGGUUGCAGUGAGCCGAGAUUGUGCCACUGCACACCAGCCUGGGCAACAGAGUGUGGCUCUGUCUCAAAAGACAAACAAACAAACAAACAAACAAAAAAAGUGGUCCAGUCAAAGCAAAAGUGAACUGGUCAAGAGCAAAGGUCACAGCAACAGUUUUUUGGGAUGGUCAAAGCAUUUACUUGUUUACUUUCUGGAGGGCCAAAGAAUGAUAGCAUCUGCUUAUUAUGAGAGUGUUUUAAGAGAGUUAGACAAAGCUUUAGCAGAAAAAUACCAGGAAAGCUUCACCAGAGAGUCUUUCUCCACCAUGACAAUGCUCCUGCUUAUUCCUCUCAUCAAACAAGGUCAAUUUUGUGAAAGUUCUGAAGGGAAAUCAUUAGGCAUCCAUCUUACAGUCCUGAUUUGGCUCCUUCUGACUUCUUCCUAUAUCUUAAUCUUUAAAAAAUCUGUAAAAGGCACCAAUUUUUCUUCAGUUAAUAAUGUAAAAAAAUGGCAUUGACGUCAGAUUUCCAGGACCCUCAGUUCUCUAGGGAUGAACUAAGUGGCUAGUAUCAUCACUUACAAAAGUGUCUUGAAUUGAUGGAGCUUAAUGUUGAGAAAUUAGUUUAUAUUUUAUAUUUUUUAACUCCAUUUUCACAAACAUUUGAAGUCUCCUUGUACAUCACUACCAAGUGGAGUUUAUUCCAGAAAUGAAAGAUUGAUUUGAUAUAUAAAAAUUAAUCAAUAUAAUAUUAAUAGGAUAAAGGGAAAAAAAUCAUCAUCUCAAUAGAUACAGAAAAAGCAUUUGACAAAAUCCAGUACCCUUUCAUGAUUUAAAAACACACCAGACCAGAAAAAGAAAGGAAAUUCUUCAAUCUCAUAAAGGUCAUCUUUGAAAAACCCACUGCUAACAUUAUACUUAAUGGUGAAAGGUUGAAAAUUUCUCCCUAGUAUCAUGAAAAAAAAGAAAAUUACUAUUCUCACUACUUCUAUUCAAAGUUGAAGGAUACAAGACCAAUAUACAAAAAUUAGUUGUAUUUCUAUAUAUUAGCAAUGAACAAUCCAACAAUGAAAGUAGGAAAAUAAUUUGAUGCACAACAGCAUCAAAAAGAACACAAUCCUUGGGCAUUGUUCCACUUUACACUCCUUAGGAUGGCUAUUAUUAAAAACCAAAACAAAACAAAACAGAAAAUAACAAUGUUGGUGACGAUAUGGAGAAAUUAAAUUCCUUGGGAACUGCUAGUAGGAAUGUAAACUGGUGCAGCCACUGUGAAAACCAAUAUGACAA